GAUGAACGAUGGCGGCGUGCCUAAUACAUGCAAGUCGAGCGAACGGACGGGAAGCUUGCUUCUCUGAUGUUAGCGGCGGACGGGUGAGUAACACGUGGAUAACCUACCUAUAAGACUGGGAUAACUUCGGGAAACCGGAGCUAAUACCGGAUAAUAUUUUGAACCGCAUGGUUCAAAAGUGAAAGACGGUCUUGCUGUCACUUAUAGAUGGAUCCGCGCUGCAUUAGCUAGUUGGUAAGGUAACGGCUUACCAAGGCAACGAUGCAUAGCCGACCUGAGAGGGUGAUCGGCCACACUGGAACUGAGACACGGUCCAGACUCCUACGGGAGGCAGCAGUAGGGAAUCUUCCGCAAUGGGCGAAAGCCUGACGGAGCAACGCCGCGUGAGUGAUGAAGGUCUUCGGAUCGUAAAACUCUGUUAUUAGGGAAGAACAUAUGUGUAAGUAACUGUGCACAUCUUGACGGUACCUAAUCAGAAAGCCACGGCUAACUACGUG
rnacentral:rRNA from 1 species